UAGGGAAUCUUCCACAAUGGGCGAAAGCCUGAUGGAGCAACGCCGCGUGUGUGAUGAAGGGUUUCGGCUCGUAAAACACUGUUGUAAGAGAAGAAUGACAUUGAGGGUAACUGUUCAAUGUGUGACGGUAUCUUACCAGAAAGGAACGGCUAACUACGCGCCAG
rnacentral:rRNA from 1 species